rnacentral:rRNA from 1 species
UGGGGAAUUUUGCACAAUGGGCGCAAGCCUGAUGCAGCGACGCCGCGUGAGGGAUGAAGGCCUUCGGGUUGUAAACCUUUUUCGCCCAUGGUCAAGCCGCAGCUUUGGGUUGUGGUGAGGGUAGUGGGUAAAGAAGCGCCGGCUAACUACGUGCCAGCAGCCGCGGUAAUACGUAGGGCGCGAGCGUUGUCCGGAAUUAUUGGGCGUAAAGGGCUUGUAGGCGGUUGGUCGCGUCUGCCGUGAAAUCCUCUGGCUUAACUGGGGGCGUGCGGUGGGUACGGGUUGACUUGAGUGCGGUAGGGGAGACUGGAAUUCCUGGUGUAGCGGUGGAAUGCGCAGAUAUCAGGAGGAACACCGGUGGCGAAGGCAGGUCGCUGGGUAGUAACUGACGCUGAGGAGCGAAAGCAUGGGUAGCGAACAGG